AAGUGAGGUAGAGGCGCGAAAACCAAGAGUACCACCCUGAGAUCGGGUAUCUGUGAAGGGAGCGGGAAAGGGGAAUUCGCCGAAGUGUGGAGGAAAACCCGUAGUUCUCCAUGCUGGGUCUGCAUUGAACAAGUGCAGGACUGUCAUCUGGCUCUUAACCGGCGUCAGAUGGAGUGCUAUCUCACGG
rfam:Brevibacillus sp. CF112 PMI08_contig_16.16, whole genome shotgun sequence.